GUGCCAGCCGCCGCGGUAAUACAGAGGGUGCGAACGUUGUUCGGAAUUACUGGGCUUGAAGCGCGCGUAGGCGGCCCCGCAAGUGCGGUGUGAAAUCCCACGGCUUACCCGUGGAACCGCGCCGUGUACUACGGGGCUAGAGGAUGGUAGAGGAGGGCGGAACUCUUGGUGGAGCGGUGAAAUGCGUAGAGAUCAAGAGGAACACCGGUGGCGAAGGCGGCCCUCUGGUCCAUUACUGACGCUGAGGCGCGAAAGCUAGGGGAGCAAACGGGAUUAGAUACCCCCGUAGUCC
rnacentral:rRNA from 1 species